UACGGGGGGGGCAAGCGUUGUUCGGAAUUACUGGGCGUAAAGGGCUCGUAGGUGGCCAACUAAGUCAGACGUGAAAUCCCUCGGCUUAACCGGGGAACUGCGUCUGAUACUGGAUGGCUUGAGAUUGGGAGAGGGAUGCGGAAUUCCAGGUGUAGCGGUGAAAUGCGUAGAUAUCGAGAGGAACACCUGCGGCGAAGGCGGGUAGCUGGGCCGACACUGACGCUGAGGCGCGAAAGCCAGGGGAGCGAACGGG
rnacentral:rRNA from 1 species